rnacentral:rRNA from 1 species
UGGGGAAUCUUGCACAAUGGGGGAAACCCUGAUGCAGCGACGCCGCGUGAGCGAUGAAGGUUUUCGAAUCGUAAAGCUCUAUCCUAUGGGAAGAUAAUGACGGUACCAUAGGAGGAAGCCCCGGCUAACUACGUGCCAGCAGCCGCGGUAAUACGUAGGGGGCGAGCGUUGUCCGGAAUUACUGGGCGUAAAGGGUUCGCAGGCGGCAUGACAAGUCCGAUGUAAAAGGCGAAAGCUCAACUUUCGUAAGCAUCGGAAACUGUCAAGCUUGAGUGAAGGAGAGGCAAGUGGAAUUCCUAGUGUAGCGGUGGAAUGCGUAGAUAUUAGGAGGAAUACCGGUGGCGAAGGCGACUUGCUGGACUUCAACUGACGCUGAGGAACGAAAGCGUGGGUAGCAAACAGG